AUGUCUCAAAUCAGAAUAGUAAAUACAAAACACAAGACUCCCAAGAAUCUCCCCUCCCGCCCAGAUAUUAUUGAUCAGAGGAUGAUUGCGGUAUUCCUUCCAUCUCUGAAAAGAUACACAUCGCUGCAUAUGCCAAUACUCCCCCUCAAGUUGGUAUGUAAGCAUCUUGCAUACCUAACUUGUCAAUUAUGCUGGUGAACGUUUUGCUCAUGACAGCCUUCGUUAAUAUGUCUGCGAGUUGCUCCCCUGAUCUCACAUGCACCAUCUGAAUGACAUUUGAUUCCAGUUUCUCCUUUAUAAAAUGUCGAUCUAUCUCCACAUGUUUAGUUCUGUCAUGCUGUACCGGGUUGUGAGAGAUAUCAAUCGCAGGUCGACUGUCACAAUAUAAGUCCAUUGCCUGAGUAGGUGCGAAUCCCAAUUCUCCGAGUAACCUCCUCAACCACAAUAAUUCACAUAUUCCCUUCGCAACUCCUCUGAAUUCAGCUUCUGCACUAGAGAGUGCUACAACACUUUGUUUCUUACUUCUCCAAGUUACUAGAUUACCUCCGACAAAGGUAAAGUAACCUGCUGUGGACCUUCUAUCACUUACACUCCCUGCCCAAUCAGCAUCAGUGAAACCUGAAACAUCAAGGUGUCCAUUCUUCUUGAAAGUUAUACCCUUGCCUGGGCAUCCCUUCAGAUAUCGUAUUAUUCGCAUGACUGCGUCCAUGUGGUCUUCACUUGGGUUGUGCAUAAACUGACUUACCACACUAACCCCAUAGGCUAUAUCCGGCCUUGUAUGUGCUAGAUAGAUCAACUUUCCUACCAACCUUUGGUACCUCUCUUUGUUAGCUGGUACUUGGUCUGGAAAUUCUCCUAAUUUAACCCCUUGAACUACAGGUGUAUCAGCUGGUCUACAGUCCAGCAUUCCAAUCUCUGCGAGUAGAUCCAAAAUGUAUUUUCUUUGAGAUAAUACAAUACCUUGUCUUGAUCGCAUUACCUCAAUUCCAAGAAAAUACUUCAAUCCUCCCAAAUUCUUCAUCUCGAAUUCACCUGAGAGUUUCUUUUCCAGAGUUGCAAUUUCUUGUGUGUCAUUUCCCGUCACUAUCAUGUCAUCGACAUAAAUGAUUAAGGCUGUCAACUUCUCCUGGUUUCUUUUCAGGAACAAUGUGUGGUCAGAGUCACAUUGUUUGAAUCCGUAGCUUUGCAUUGCUCUACAAAAUCUGCCGAACCAGGCACGUGGGGAUUGCUUCAAUCCGUACAGCGCUUUGUUCAAUUUACACACCAUCGGCUUGGCAUUUGUACUUUUGUAUCCUGGGGGUUGCUCCAUGUACACUUCUUCUUUCAGCUCUCCAUGUAAAAAAGCAUUCUUCACAUCAAAUUGGUGCAAAGGCCAGUCUAAAUUAGCUGCAAGAGACAACAAAACUCGAAUGGUAUUUAGUUUAGCUACGGGUGAGAAAGUUUCUUGAAAAUCUAUACCCUGUGUUUGUGUAUACCCUUUCGCAACCAGUCUCGCUUUGUAUCUGUCAAUCUCCCCAUUAGCAUUGUACUUAAUUGAAAACACCCAUCUGCACCCUACAGGUAUUUUCCCUUGUGGUAGUUCCACCAAAGUCCAAGUUUUGUUGUUAUAUAAUGCACUCAUUUCAGCUUCCAUAGCUUGUGACCAAUUCGGAUCAGAUUUUGCCUCAUCUACAUUUUCUGGUAUCUUACAGGACAAUAAGUUCUCAUUAAACCUUUUUACAGGUCCAGAUAAAGAUUUGGUAUCUACGAAAUUUGCAAUGGGGUAUUUGCUCUUUUUAUGCCUAUCUUCAUCUGGUUCAUACCGUUUAGGUGGUAUACCCCUAUUGCAUCUGACUGGUAACGUAUACUUAGAGGUAGGAAGACUUACCUGAAGCUGAUCCUCAGGAGACAUUGGGCCUUGUGGUUCUUCAUUGGGUUGUAUCACUUCUUCAUUUUCACUUUCCAUUCCAAAGACUGCUCUGUUUUUGUUUCUAGAGUACAUUUCUAGUGGUUUAUUUCCAUCCGUAGCCCCAUUACCAUCUCCAUCCGAUUCAUCAGUUCCAUUACCAUUUCCAUCUGAUUUAUCAGUACCAGAAACGCCAUCCUGGCCAUACUGUUCACAACCAGGGGUCCAUCCCUGAAAACUUAAUAAAUCCUUGUUCUUCCAUACAUCGGAUUCACUACUGUUCUCCCCCUGAUCCGAUUGUAUGGUGGGUUUAAAGAAUGCCUCAUGUUCCAUGAACGUAACAUCCAUCGUAACGUACCAUUUUCGAGAGUCUACAUCAAAGCACUUAUACCCUUUUUGAUUCUGCCCAAAACCGAGAAACACACACCGUACAGCAUAAGGUGAAAGUUUUGAGCGUUGUGUUUUUGGUACGUGGACAUAUGCAACACACCCGAAUAUUUUUGGUGUCAGACUAAGAACCGAUGGAAUGGAGUGAUGCUUUUCUAAUGUUUUUAGAGGAGUUUGGAAAUUAUUGAUCUUUGUGGGUAAUCGAUUUAAUACAUAUACUGCCAUAAGGAUUGAUUUAUCCCAGAAUUUUGUCGGAACAUGAUAUUCAAACAACAGUGCUCGUGACAUUUCCAAGAUGUGUCUAUUUUUCCGUUCGGCGACCCCAUUUUGUUGCGGUGUCCCUACACACGAGGUCUCAUGUACAAUUCCCAUUUGAACAAAGAAAUCUUUAAGUACUUUUCCAAUGAACUCCCCGCCGUUAUCACUCCGAAAAAAUUUAAUCCCUUUUCCAAACUGUGUUUUAAUCAUGGUAUAAAAAUUUUUAAAAACACUUGGCACUUCAUCUUUACUCUUUAACAGGUAAACCCAUGUCAUUCUUGUACAGUCAUCGAUAAAUAACACAAACCAUUUAUUUCCAUCUAUAGAGCUUACAGGAGCGGGUCCCCACACGUCUGAGUGAAUCAAAUCAAAAGGACUAUUACUUUUAUUUGAACUUGGUGCAUACGACACACGAUGACUCUUUGCUUUUAUGCAAGUAUCACAAUUAAACACAGUAAGAUUGUUAUUCUUGAAUAAAUGAGGCAGAAGUUUCUUCAUAUACCCAAGAGAAGGAUGACCCAAACGUCGGUGCCAUGUCCAAAUUUUAUUCUGCACUUCCGUUUGAUCAACCACUAAACUUGCUCUUCCAGCUUUAAGAUCUUCAAGAUGAUACAACCCAUCUCUUUCAAUACCACGCCCAAUGAUCUCCUUCGUGAGGAUGUCCUGGAUUAUAAAAUAGUCAGAAUACAUCUUUACCACACAAUUUCUGUCCUUUGUCAAUUUACUGACUGACAUUAGCCUCGUAGCCAGAGAUGGUACUACCAGUACAUUUGAUAAGUUUAACUGAGAGGUUACUUUAAUACUUCCUGCACAUUUCACUGGAUAGGAGAUUCCGUUAGCAUUUAAUAUCUCAGUUUUCUUUGUAACACACUCAGCAGUAAGAUCAGUUUUAGUGAAUGUCAUGUGAUCAGAUGCACCGGAAUCAACUAUCCAUGUACUGUUAUCAUUAGACAAGUUGGAGGAGAGAAAGAUUAUACCUUCACUUGGAGAAUCAUCACCAUUCUUACCCGAUACUGCAAUGGAGACCUUGCCUCUUUUUGCCUCAGCUUGCUUCUUUUUCAACUCCUUGUACCAAUCUGGGUACCCAUGGAUUUUAAAACAGGUGUCUUUACUAUGGCCUUUGCCGCCACAGUGGGUGCACUUGAGAACUGCUUCAGUUUUGUUGUAUCGUGUUGUAAAGUGUACAGCACCUUGAUUAGAACUGGAUUCCUUUCCCUGUACCUGCGAUGACAGAGACAGUGGAUCUCCUGGAACCGAGUUGUUACUGUUCCCAUGGGUUGAGUUAGUACUGAUGUGAGGAACACCAGCAACCUGUUUUGCACCUUGCACAAUCAUUGCCGCUGAGUUAGACAAAUCCGUGCUCUUGCCAACCAUAACAGAUUGACGCACAUCUUCACGACGCACAUGUCCAUACGUCUCUUCAACAGUUGGUAAUGGUGUCAUCCUAAGGAUCUCGGCCCGAAUGCCAUCGAAUCUGUCCUCAAGACCCCCAAGGAAAAUAUACACCUUUCUAUCUUGCUCUACUCUGUUAUAUUUCUCAAUAUCUAUGGGACAGGUCAUAGGGUUUGGUUUUCUAAACUCAAUCUCCUUCCAAAGUCCUUGUAGAGUAUAGAAAUAAUCUUCUAGUGUACCGGUUUGUUUUAACCCAUAAACCUUUACUUCAAGAUCAUAGAUCUGGGUGUUGUCAUUACCAUCAAAAAAUGUUAAUUUGAUGCUAUCCCAUACCUCCUUGGCAGUAGAAAACCGUAUGAAAUUCCCAAUCAAAUUAGGGUCAAGGGAGCUGAGAAUCCAACCUUUUACCAUGGAGUUGUCAGACAUCCAUCGCUUGUAGCCUGUGUCAUUAGACGCAGGUUGAGUUCGUUCGCCAUUGAUAUGGCCGAGUUUGUCCUUAGAUGCAAGGAGCACCUCCACCAUUUGCGACCAUACACCAUAGUUACGGCCGUUGAACACUAUCGUCAUUGGUGGUAGCCCUCCCUCAGGUCCUGUGGCUGGACCAAGCGGCGGUUGAAAGUUUCGAAACAUCGCCUUGGUUAAUUUCUCGGUGAGAUCUUCAAUGAACUUGGACGACACAGUAUUGCCAUCCACAAUGAGUUGCUGGUUAUUCGUCUCUUCUGCCAUGGUUAUCGUUUAGAGAGAGGAACGGAUAUGGUUCGAACUUGGCUCUGAUACCAUGUCUCAAAUCAGAAUAGUAAAUACAAAACACAAGACUCCCAAGAAUCUCCCCUCCCGCCCAGAUAUUAUUGAUCAGAGGUUAAAACCUAUUACAAUAUUCAGAUCAUUUCUUCUCAUGUUCUAUCACUUAUUUAUCAGCUAUGGUAGCUAUCUUAGGAAAAAAUAAAUUACAUCUGUCACACUAUAUUCUGUAUCCUAUACAUUGCUAAAUAUAGAAUAAAAUUGAAUAUGUGAUAUUCUCUUCCUUCUCUA